AGCUCCAAUAGCGUAUAUUAAAGUUGUUGUGGUUAAAAAGCUCGUAGUUGGAUUUCGGCGGGUAGGGGUUGGUUUGUAUUGAUUCCACACUGACUUUUUUAACCGUGUGUUUUGCCGGAAUCUUACGGGGGUGCUUUUCCGAUUGUCCGUUGGAACUGGCAGGUUUACUUUGAAAAAAUUAGAGUGCUCAAAGCAAGCUUACUGCUUGAAUAGUUGCGCAUGGAAUAAUAGAAUAGGAAGUCGUUUCUAUUUUGUUGGUUUUCGGAAAUCGACUUAAUGAUUAAUAGGGAUAGUCGGGGGCAUUCGUAUGCAAACGACAGAGGUGAAAUUCUUGGACCGUUUGAAGACGAACUAAGGCGAAAGCAUUUGCCAAGAAUGUUUUCA
rnacentral:rRNA from 1 species